UACGUAGGGUGCAAGCGUUGUCCGGAAUUAUUGGGCGUAAAGAGCUCGUAGGCGGUCAGUCGCGUCUGCUGUGAAAACUCGGGGCUUAACUCCGGGCCUGCAGUGGGUACGGGCUGACUAGAGUGCGGUAGGGGAGACUGGAAUUCCUGGUGUAGCGGUGAAAUGCGUAGAUAUCUGGAGGAACACCGGUGGCGAAGGCGGCAUCCUGGACCGGCAUUGACGCUGAGGAGCGAAAGCCAGGGGAGCAAACGGG
rnacentral:rRNA from 1 species